GUCGACGGUAGAGGGGGCAACCCCUCGAGAGUGGCGAACGGGUGAGUAAUAUAUCGGAACGUGCCCAGUCGUGGGGGAUAACGUAGCGAAAGUUACGCUAAUACCGCAUACGAUCUACGGAUGAAAGCGGGGGAUCGCAAGACCUCGCGCGAUUGGAGCGGCCGAUAUCAGAUUAGGUAGUUGGUGAGGUAAAGGCUCACCAAGCCAACGAUCUGUAGCUGGUCUGAGAGGACGACCAGCCACACUGGAACUGAGACACGGUCCAGACUCCUACGGGAGGCAGCAGUGGGGAAUUUUGGACAAUGGACGCAAGUCUGAUCCAGCCAUUCCGCGUGCAGGAUGAAGGCCCUCGGGUUGUAAACUGCUUUUGUACGGAACGAAAAGGUUUGUCUUAAUACGAUGAGCUCAUGACGGUACCGUAAGAAUAAGCACCGGCUAACUACGUGCCAGCAGCCGCGGUAAUACGUAGGGUGCAAGCGUUAAUCGGAAUUACUGGGCGUAAAGCGUGCGCAGGCGGUUAUGUAAGACAGAGGUGAAAUCCCCGGGCUCAACCUGGGAACUGCCUUUGUGACUGCAUAGCUAGAGUACGGUAGAGGGGGGAUGGAAUUCCGCGUGUAGCAGUGAAAUGCGUAGAUAUGCGGAGGAACACCGAUGGCGAAGGCAAUCCCCUGGACCUGUACUGACGCUCAUGCACGAAAGCGUGGGGAGCAAACAGGAUUAGAUACCCUGGUAGUCCACGCCCUAAACGAU
rnacentral:rRNA from 1 species